rnacentral:rRNA from 1 species
AUGAGCCCAACAGGGUGCGGGAAGUUUUCUGUCAAAUCCUUAUAUCAACUGUGCCAAAGGACGGCACAGAGGGAGGUGAAAGGACUUUGUCAAGCUCGCGUUCCGCUGAAUAUCAAAGUUUUUCUUUGGCAAUUGUUCCGGGACCGUCUCCCCACGUCCAUCAACAUAGCAAAACGAAAUGGCAUGGCGACGGGUCCAUGCGCUUUAUGUGGGAACCCCGAGAACGCAAACCAUGUUUUCUUCCUUUGUCCUCUCUCUAGGUUUGCUUGGAGUGUUGUGCGUGAGGCUGCUGGUGUCCCCUGGGACUUGCGCUCCUCUUCCGAACUUGUGGGACUCCUCGAUUCGGUUUAG